GCGUCGGUGGUGUGAAGGUUAGCAUGUGUGCCUUGCAAGCAAAUCGGUACCCCGGUUCGAUUCCGGCUGAUGCA
rnacentral:tRNA from 1 species